UCAAGAAACAGUAGCCAACCACAAAAUGUUUCUGUCCCAGGGAAAGAUUUUUCAAUUAUUUUCUUUUUUGUCAUCUAAACUUCAUUUUAAGCUAAAUAUAUUCAGAUUUCAUCACUUUACUUUGCCUCUAAGACUCUGGAAAAGUUGAGACCUCACACAAAGAUAUUCAUCUUAGAAGUUCACAAAC
ensembl:misc_RNA